rnacentral:rRNA from 1 species
GAUCCUGGCUCAGGAUGAACGCUGGCGGCGUGCUUAACACAUGCAAGUCGAACGAAGCUACUUAACUGAUCUUCUUCGGAAUUGACGUUUUGUAGACUGAGUGGCGGACGGGUGAGUAACGCGUGGGUAACCUGCCCUGUACAGGGGGAUAACAACCAGAAAUGGUUGCUAAUACCGCAUAAGCGCACAGGACCGCAUGGUCCGGUGUGAAAAACUCCGGUGGUAUAGGAUGGACCCGCGUUGGAUUAG